UUGGAUCCACCAGCCACAACAAGCCUCGAGGUACACACCAAGAUUCCACCUAGAAUCCAACCGGUUAUCUGAUGCCUCAGCCUGUCUUUGGAAGUAACAGACCACUCUUCGGAAAGUGUCCUGUGCCAAGGGCUGGACGUCAGGAAUCGUGGAGCCGUUCUUGGAGUAGAGAAUUGAGUGACUUUCUCAAGUGCACGUUGACACUCCGAAUGUUUCUGCCAGUAUCAGUGAGGUUCAGUAGGACUCAUGAAUGUCUUUCGAGCCUGGUAUUCUCUAGAAGUGUCUCCAUGCCAGUAUUCUCCAUUGUAGCGGAACAACUCUCAUCAAUAUGUUCGCAUCUCUCUUCAAUUCGUGCAGCCAACUUUUCUGCCAGCUUCUCUUCGUGUCUCCCAUAAAGUCGACUUCAACUGGACUGGGGAAAUCUGAAAGUACCUCGGAGCAUCACCAGUAAGCUGAUGACAGGCAGAUCUUCCACUGUCUGCCCUUUCAGGUUCUGGAAACUUACCCGUGAACUUAGGUCUUUGGGCAGCAGCAUUAUCUCGAACUUACACAGCGUCCCGAACAAAACACCUAAGCCAAACUCCACAAAGGGCGGCAGCCCCUCCAUCACACUGAUCCACCCACAGAAUUCUGCCCAGUUACCUUGGAUCCACCAGCCACAACAAGCCUCGCGGUACACACCAAGAUUCCACCUACAAUCCAACCGGUAACUGCCAUCCCCAAUGGUUGCUGAAUAUUGUCAGUGUUGGGGGGGGUCUGCAUCAAACGAGAGGUUCCUAAGAUAAUGUGAUUCUAUCCACUAGCGUGCCAUUGUCGUUUUAUAUUCCCUCUUUCCUUUGGUUCAGAUCUGUAUAUACAGUAAAAACGGAGGGAAGUGUGUCCAGUUUUAGUUUAUUGUUUCACACGUCUGGAAAAUUUCUAAGAGCUCACAGUACACAGAGACCCCACUAAAGGAAACUCAUGUUUGUGUAAUAUCCAUUCACCCAGAAUACAUAUCCGUCAGUUGCUUUCUGCUGAAACACCCACGCUGUCAGAAAAUGGAUCCAUUUUUUUCAUGGGGGCUGAAAUUCCGAGAAAUGAAACCAAUC